rnacentral:rRNA from 1 species
UACAGGGGGGGCAAGCGUUGUUCGGAAUUACUGGGCGUAAAGGGCCAGUAGGCGGCCAACUAAGUCCGACGUGAAAUCCCAAGGCUUAACCUUGGAACUGCGUCGGAUACUGGAUGGCUUGAAUCCGGGAGAGGGAUGCAGAAUUCCAGGUGUAGCGGUGAAAUGCGUAGAUAUCUGGAGGAAUACCGGUGGCGAAGGCGGCAUCCUGGACCGGCAUUGACGCUGAUGUGCGAAAGCCAGGGGAGCAAACGGG